rnacentral:lncRNA from 1 species
AGUGCCCCGGGCGUCCCGCCGCCUCACUAAGCGCCUGGAGCGCGAGCCGGGGUAGAGGAAGAGAGCGAAAGAGGCUGGGCGGCCGGCCCCUCCAGGGAGUGGGCUAGACGUCUCAGGCCACAAACCCGCAGGACCGCAGCCCGUCGCGCCGCCGCCGCCCCGGCCGAACCCGCGCCGCCCGCCACUCGUGGCCGUUGGCGGGGGGGGGGGGGGGGCGCUGCUGCCAACCGCUCACUGAGGCCGGGCGACCCGCGCAGGCGCGCUGCCCGCGCCGCCGGAAGUGACGGUUCCGGCUCUUGUCACGUGGAGGGGGACCAAGGGAGGUGAUUGUGGGGGUUGGGGACUAGGGCAAAGUCGGGGGUCCCGGGUCCGGGGUUGCGCCGGGAGGGUACUGGCCAGGCCCGACUUCAAGCAGGGAGGUGGCCCGGGACUGGCUCCCGCGCUGGUCACGCACCGGGGUCCGUCAUCUCGACCGGGAGUCGCUGUGCCACUCUAGGGGCUUAAAAAUGCCGCCAACAACUUUACCCCUGCUGAGGAACUUCUCGCUUCGUUUCUUAGCCAGUUUUCCAGGCCUUCUCCCUUGAGAGUCUCCUUCCGCUCGCCCACCCUGAGCGUAGGAGGUGGGAGCAGGACGGAACUGGAGUGGAUUCCAGUAACUGGACUUCUAAACCGGCUCGGUGUCGUCGCGCUCUGUAGCGGACGCUUGUGCUGGGAAGCGUUUUGCAGUUUAUAAAUUACUUAGGAGUACUUUAAACAUCUCACGCCUGCUGUACCACAGCCAUGUGGGGGUAUUCAGAACAGGUAUUAAGGUCGUUUUGCAGACCAUUCAUCACUCUUGGCUAAAAGAACUUAACGGAGUCGCCCAAGGUCACACAGCUGGCUCGUGAUGAUGCCACUGGCCUUGGCCAAUCAGAGAAUGUAGUCAUCUGACUCACCCAUCCUGCAAAUGACCUUGCAGACAGCAUACGUUUUAAACUAGCCAUUAAACCUGCCUGUGACCUUGUCAGCCUCCACCACGUUCAUCUGGAUGGAUGCAUGGUUCUUGGCACCGGUGACGCGGUUACUAGCAGAGACUUUCUGCCGCAUGUACAGGUCCACAAGCUCGCCGCUGUCCUUCUGCAUCUCAAGACUGUGCCUGCUGCCACGACACUGCGUGUGAGCAGAGAAAAGAAAACAACUGAGUAUCUGUAAAAUUUAACAAAUAUUUGCUAAAUAUCUAAAAAGGGUAAAGCACUGUAGAUUGGGGCAGCUAGGAGGACCUGAACAAGUUGAAUAAAACAAAUCAUGGCUUCAAAGUUUAUACACUUUUGGAGUGGAUAAAAGUAUGUACAGGACCAUGUAAGAGAGACGGAGACAAAUUAGGAGUGGAGAUAAGGCUGACUCUAAGUUAUGUACAAAUGAUGGGCUCUAAGGUCAUAUUAUUAUGGUGCAUUGCCUUCAAGUCUCCUCCUGGCAGUAUGGUUGAUGUUGUGAUCUUACAAACUUCUGGAGACAGAAAAGCAGCUUUUGUCGGUUUGGAAGCAAAUGAACAAUCCCCCUGGAAACAUAUUAAAUUCUACCCCAAUGUGUUGAACUGAUACUGAAGCUCUAUACAUCCAUGACACACAUAUACACAUGCAAAAUAAUCGAUUCAAGUUACUGUAGUUACUGUGGAGGGACAGAGAAGAAGAAAGUGUUGAAGUUCAAUUCAGCUUUUGCUUCAAUCAUUUAUUAAAAUUU